AACCUGCGGAGGGAUCAUUACUGAGUGAGGGCUCACGCCCGACCUCCAACCCUUUGUGAACCAAACUUGUUGCUUCGGGGGCGACCCUGCCGACGACUUUGUCGCCGGGCGCCCCCGGAGGUCUUCUAAACACUGCAUCUUUGCGUCGGAGUUUAAACAAAUUAAACAAAACUUUCAACAACGGAUCUCUUGGUUCUGGCAUCGAUGAAGAACGCAGCGAAAUGCGAUAAGUAAUGUGAAUUGCAGAAUUCAGUGAAUCAUCGAAUCUUUGAACGCACAUUGCGCCCUUUGGUAUUCCGAAGGGCAUGCCUGUUCGAGCGUCAUUUCACCACUCAAGCCUGGCUUGGUAUUGGGCGUCGCGGUUUUCCGCGCGCCUUAAAGUCUUCCGGCUGAGCUGUCCGUCUCUAAGCGUUGUGGAUUUUUCAAUUCGCUUCGGAGUGCGGGUGGCCGCGGCCGUUAAAUCUUUAUUCAAAGGUUGACCUCGGAUCAGGUAGGGAUA
rnacentral:rRNA from 2 species